GGGAAAGGUUCCCCCCCUUCCAGCAUCGACAGAGGUUAAUGCGAGUAUUUAACAAUGCUUUGCUCUCUUUGGGUAUUCACACUGCCUGAAAUCAGUUUCCCGUCCACUUAGCCAGCCCAGUUGGAGUCCUUUGUUGUUCUGAUGUAAGCCCGCUCUGCAGUUUGAGAUGUUUACAAGCUGGAGUACAAAAGCAGAAGGAAUGAGCAUUUCAGAAGGGAUCUUUCGUGCAGGCCUGAGGGAGCCCCAGGGAGAGCUCAGUCCACCAGUCUUGCAGGGUGCCUUUCUCUGAGUUGCAAGCCAAAGGGCGUCAAGAAGACCCCGAGGUUCAGCUUGUAUGGUGGCCAGGACUACUGCCCCCUAAGGCAGAUCAGUGGCUUCCAUGUGCAAGACGCUGGACACAUGACAUAGCCUGGAGGGCUAAUCACCCACCAUUUGGAGGUGAAAUCCGCCUGCUCACCUGCAGAUAUAUUUCUUGGGAUCCAGAUUAUUUGUCAUGCCUUCUAACUUCCUUGAAUUGGUUUUUGCUUGGUUUUAUUCUUU